CACGGACGCUGGCGGCGUGCCUAAUACAUGCAAGUCGAGCGCAGGAAACUGACGGAACUCUUCGGAGGGAAGGCAGUGGAAUGAGCGGCGGACGGGUGAGUAACACGUAAGGAACCUGCCUCAAGGAUUGGGAUAACUCCGAGAAAUCGGAGCUAAUACCGGAUAGUUCAACGGACCGCAUGGUCCGCUGAUGAAAGGCGCUCCGGCGUCACCUUGAGAUGGCCUUGCGGUGCAUUAGCUAGUUGGUGGGGUAACGGCCCACCAAGGCGACGCUGCAGAGCCGACAGGAGAGGGUGAUCGGCCGCACUGGGACUGAGACACGGCCCAGACUCCGACGGGAGGCAGCAGUAGGGAAUCUUCCACAAUGGACGAAAGUCUGAUGGAGCAACGCCGCGUGAGUGAUGAAGGUUUUCGGAUCGUAAAACUCUGUUGUAAGGGAAGAACACGUACGAGAGGAAAUGCUCGUACCUUGACGGUACCUUACGAGAAAGCCACGGCUAACUACGUGCCAGCCGCCGCCGUAACAC
rnacentral:rRNA from 1 species